UCAGCGGGUAACCUCAUCUGACGUGAAAUCAAGUAGUGGGUACGUUCGGCGCAGAGAGGUCCAAUCCCUGAUCAGAGGCGUGUUCACUACUCUGCGGGAAGGGACUCUGCGGCCAACACUUUGCGGGCGGCGGCCGACGGUGAAGCGGGCCGUCCCCAUCACCGAACCGAGUUCGAGUGGACAAAUGAUGUUCACGCAGACGUGCCCAUCGGAAUACCAAGGGGCGCAAUGUGCGUUCAAAGAUUCGAUGAUUCACGGAAUUCUGCAAUUCACAUUACUUAUCGCAUUUCGCUGCGUUCUUCAUCNAUGCGAGAACCA
rnacentral:misc_RNA from 1 species